rnacentral:rRNA from 1 species
UGCAGUCGAGGGGCAGCAUCAUCAAAGCUUGCUUUGAUGGAUGGCGACCGGCGCACGGGUGAGUAACACGUAUCCAACCUGCCGACAACACUGGGAUAGCCUUUCGAAAGAAAGAUUAAUACCGGAUGGUAUAGUUUUCCCGCAUGGGACGAUUAUUAAAGAAUUUCGGUUGUCGAUGGGGAUGCGUUCCAUUAGGCAGUUGGCGGGGUAACGGCCCACCAAACCUACGAUGGAUAGGGGUUCUGAGAGGAAGGUCCCCCACAUUGGAACUGAGACACGGUCCAAACUCCUACGGGAGGCAGCAGUGAGGAAUAUUGGUCAAUGGACGAGAGUCUGAACCAGCCAAGUAGCGUGAAGGAUGACUGCCCUAUGGGUUGUAAACUUCUUUUAUACGGGAAUAAAGUGAGCCACGUGUGGCUUUUUGUAUGUACCGUAUGAAUAAGGAUCGGCUAACUCCGUGCCAGCAGCCGCGGUAAUACGGAGGAUCCGAGCGUUAUCCGGAUUUAUUGGGUUUAAAGGGAGCGUAGGCGGGUUGUUAAGUCAGUUGUGAAAGUUUGCGGCUCAACCGUAAAAUUGCAGUUGAUACUGGCGACCUUGA